rnacentral:rRNA from 1 species
AUGCAAGCUUUUCGAGACUCUCUUGAAUUAUGUGAACUUGUAGACUUGGAUUUCCCAGGAGUCCCCCGCACCUAUGAUAACAAAAGAAGCGGGAACGGUAAUGUGAAAGUACGACUAGAUCGGAAGGUUGCGUCCCCUAGCUGGUACAAUUGUUUUGAGCACCCAACUGUCCGGCACCUGAUCUCCCCUACGUCGGACCAUGUGGCGCUGCAUGUAUGCUGUGAUAAGUAUGUGGACUUGCAUGUAAAAAAUAAGUUUAGACAAUAUGAAGUGAUGUGGGAGAGAGAACCGGCUCUUCAAGAAAUAAUUGUGCGUGCUUGGGAAGAUGCCGGACAAAAAAGGUGUCUCGGUGACGUCCACGCUACUCUCAGAUCCAUGAUGCGUAAGCUCUAUUCUUGGAGCAAAGAAAAAUUUAGAAGGGUAACAAAAGAGAUUGACAAAUCUAGAACAUAGCUUGAGGAACUAAUGCUUAUGAAUGCAGACAUAUGUGAGAUUCGGAAAGCUACUGAUAGGCUGAACGAACUACUGUAUAAAGAAGAAAUGAUGUGGUUGCAGCGAUCCCGUGUCGAUUGGUUGAAGGAGGGCGAUCGUAACACAAGAUUUUUUUUCAUGCAAGAGCUAUUUGGAUAG